GUCUGUUAGAAAGUUUCAAAUAUUAAGAGUCGGCCCUGCCGGUGGGAUGCGGUGGCAUCGUAAACGGUUGCGGUUCGUAGCUGCACUAAGGUAGCGCAAUAGGUUGUCCUUUAAAUGGGGAAGAGUAUGAAUGGGUUGACGUGGUCUAAGCUGUCUCUUUAACAAUAUUCAAAAUUUUCUUUUUAGUGAAAAGGCUGAGAUAUUUGUAAAAGACGAGAAGACCCCAUGGAUCUUGAUUAAUAAGUAAUUAUAUAUUGCUUAGGAAGUUUUACUGGGACAGUAGGAAUAUAUAUAAAAUUAUUCUUUUUUUAAGAGAUCCUUUCAAAAUAAAGUCAAAGGAAAAAGUUACCCUGGGGAUAACAGCGUAAUCUUUUUCUAGAGGACUAAUCGAAAAAAAGGUUUGCGACCUCGAUGUUGGAUUUAGGAAGCCUUUUGGUUGCAGGAGCUAAGCGGGUAAGACUGUUCGUCUUUUAAACCCUAACA
rnacentral:rRNA from 1 species